UUUUUCAGCUUGUCUCACCCAGGAGGUGGGAACAGUUGAGAACAAAGUGGCGAACGGGUGUGUAACGCAUGGGAAUCCGUCAAACACUUUGGGCCAAAUCCUAUAGAAAGCUAAAAAACAUUGUUUGAUGAGCAUGUGUAAUAUUAGGUAGUUGGUCAGGUCAAGGCUGACCAAGCCAAUGAUGUUUAGUUGAUUUUUUCUGAUGAUCAGCCACACUGGGAUUGAGACAGCUCAGACUCCCAUGGUGGGUAGCAGUGGGGAAUCUUGGACAAUGGGCGACAGGAAAUCA
rnacentral:ncRNA from 1 species